GACGUAGGGCGCGAGCGUUGUCCGGAUUUAUUGGGCGUAAAGAGCUCGUAGGCGGCUUGUUGCGUCGACUGUGAAAACCCGCGGCUUAACUGCGGGCUUGCAGUUGAUACGGGCAGGCUAGAGUUCGGUAGGGAGGACUGGAAUCCUGGUGUAGCGGUGAAAUGCGCAGAGUAUCAGGAGGAACACCGGUGGCGAAGGCGGGUCUCUGGGCCGAUACUGACGCUGAGGAGCGAAGCGUGGGGAGCAAACAGG
rnacentral:rRNA from 1 species